UACAGAGGUCUCAAGCGUUGUUCGGAUUCAUUGGGCGUAAAGGGUGCGUAGGCGGCGCGGUAAGUCGGGUGUGAAAUCUCGGGGCUUAACUCCGAAACUGCAUUCGAUACUGCCGUGCUUGAGGACUGGAGAGGAGACUGGAAAUUUACGGUGUAGCGGUGAAAUGCGUAGAUAUCGUAAGGAAGACCAGUGGCGAAGGCGGGUCUCU
rnacentral:rRNA from 1 species